rnacentral:rRNA from 1 species
GACGAACGCUGGCGGCGUGCUUAACACAUGCAAGUCGAACGGAAAGGCCCUGCUUUUGUGGGGUGCUCGAGUGGCGAACGGGUGAGUAACACGUGAGUAACCUGCCCUUGACUUUGGGAUAACUUCAGGAAACUGGGGCUAAUACCGGAUAGGAGCUCCUGCUGCAUGGUGGGGGUUGGAAAGUUUCGGCGGUUGGGGAUGGACUCGCGGCUUAUCAGCUUGUUGGUGGGGUAGGGGCUUACCAAGGCUUUGACGGGUAGCCGGCCUGGGAGGGUGACCGGCCACAAUGGGACUGAGGUACGGCCCAGACUCCUACGGGAGGCAGCAGUGGGGAAUAUUGCACAAUGGGGGGAAGCCUGAUGCAGCAACGCCGGGUGCGGGAUGACGGGCUUCGGGUUGUAAACCGCUUUCGCCUGUGACGAAGCGUGAGUGACGGUAAUGGGUAAAGAAGCACCGGCUAACUACGUG